rnacentral:rRNA from 1 species
UACAGAGGUCCCAAGCGUUGUUCGGAUUCACUGGGCGUAAAGGGUGCGUAGGUGGUAAGGCAAGUCAGGUGUGAAAUCUCCGGGCUCAACCCGGAAAUGGCAUUCGAAACUACCUUGCUAGAGGGUUUGAGGGGGGACUGAAUACUUGGUGUAGCAGUGAAAUGCGUAGAUAUCAAGUGGAACACCAGUGGCGAAGGCGAGUCCCUGGAAAACUCCUGACACUGAGGCACGAAAGCUAGGGGAGCAAACAGG